rnacentral:siRNA from 1 species
AAUGUGAAUGAACUACAAAAUGAU